UGUGUGUGUGUGUGUGUGUGUGUGUGUGUGUGAGAGAGAGAGAGAGAGAGAGAGAGAGAGAGAGAGAGAGAGAGAGAGAGAGAGAGAGAGAGAGAGAGAGAGAGAGAGAGAGAGAGAGAGAGAGAGAGAGAGAGAGAGAGAGAGAAAAGAACGAAAAGAACUAUAUAGAUGGAGAGCAGGGAUGAAAGAAAGGGAAAAAUAAAAUUAAAUAAAGAACAGAAAGAUAAAGAAACAGACGACCCUUCAGAAGUGGGACGCCAGUGGAAAUGUUAGGAAACUUUAUUGGGCCGCCGCCGUCCUCGUGAGCGUCAGCACACUCACUAUAAGUGUUUCAACUCAUCAGCUGGAUGAAUGUAAUGAAGCUGAAAGAUGUUAAAUAGUGAACCAAUUCUUAUUAAGUAAAAUCAGUCAAUUAAUCAGAAAAGGAAAAUAUAAUAAAAAGGAAAUAUCGAAAGUAAGAAGAAGAGGAGACGGCCGCCGCGCCGCAAGCCGUCGCCAGGAUUCCUUUGGAUGCUUGUGCUCGUCCCCGAGGCCCUCCGGCCUUCCAUCCCAGAACCGAUAAACUCGGUGAUCGGCGACUUUUCGGUAUUUUUGAUUAAUUUCAUAAUCCAGUCUGGUAGUUUUAAGAAGCGAGCUCUUGUAUUCACCCUCCUCGCCUCGGCGGGGCGGGGCAGCGCCAGCGAGCCCAAGGUCUCCCUGGAGAGCAUGGCAGGAGUGGAGGGCUCCCGGCAGGGCACCUAAGCGUCCCCCGGGGCCCCGACGGAGGUGCCCGAGAACUUCCAGCUACAGAGCUGAGCAGUGAGGUUCCAUAACCGUGGUAGGCAAUAUGCCUAAGAGAGCAAACUCCGAACAACAAACCGGGCAGGUGGGGCUCGUUAGCCGUGGUAGGCAAUCUGCCUAGGAGAGCAAACUCUAAACAAACCCGGGCAGGUGGGGCUCGUUAGCCGUGGUAGGCAAUCUGCCUAGGAGAGCAAACUCUAAACAAACCCGGGCAGGUGGAGCUCGUUAGCCGUGGUAGGCAGUCUGCCUAGGAGAGCAAACUCUAAACAAACCCGGGCAGGUGGAGCUCGUUAGCCGUGGUAGGCAGUCUGCCUAGGAGAGCAAACUCUAAACAAACCCGGGCAGGUGGAGCUCGUUAGCCGUGGUAGGCAGUCUGCCUAGGAGAGCAAACUCUAAACAAACCCGGGCAGGUGGGGCUCGUUAGCCGUGGUAGGCAGUCUGCCUAGGAGAGCAAACUCUAAACAAACCCGGGCAGGUGGGGCUCGUUAGCCGUGGUAGGCAGUCUGCCUAGGAGAGCAAACUCUAAACAAACCCGGGCAGGUGGAGCUCGUUAGCCGUGGUAGGCAAUCUACCUAGGAGAGCAAACUCUAAACAAACCCGGGCAGGUGGAGCUCGUUAGCCGUGGUAGGCAAUCUACCUAGGAGAGCAAACUCUAAACAAACCCGGGCAGGUGGGGCUCGUUAGCCGUGGUAGGCAAUCUACCUAGGAGAGCAAACUCUAAACAAACCCGGGCAGGUGUGGCUCGUUAGCCGUGGUAGGCAAUACACCUAGGAGAGCAAACUCUAAACAAACCCGGGAAGGUGGAGCUCGUUAGCCGUGGUAGGCAAUUCGCCUAGGAGAGCAAACUCCGAACAACAAACCCGGACAGGUGGAGGUCGUUAGCCGUGGUAGGCAAUUCGCCUAGGAGAGCAAACUCCGAACAACAAACCCGGGCAGGUGGAGCUCGUUAGCCGUGGUAGGCAAUUCACCUAGGAGAGGGACAACUCCGAAUAACAAACCCGGACAGGUUGGGCUCGUGAGCCGUCAUAGGCAAUACACCUAGGAGAGCAAACUCCGAACAAUAAACCCGGACAGGUUGGGCUCGUGAGCCGUCAUAGGCAAUACACCUAGGAGAGCAAACUCCGAAUAAUAAACCCGGGCAGGUUGGGCUCGUGAGCCGUCAUAGGCAAUACACCUAGGAGAGCAAACUCCGAACAAUAAACCCGGACAGGUUGGGCUCGUGAGCCGUCAUAGGCAAUACACCUAGGAGAGCAAACUCCGAACAAUAAACCCGGGCAGGUGGAGCUCGUCAGCCGUGGUAGGCAAUCUGCCUAGGAGAGCAAACUCCGAACAACAAACCCGGGCAGGUGGAGCUCGUCAGCCGUGGUAGGCAAUCUGCCUAGGAGAGCAAACUCCGAACAACAAACCCGGGCAGGUGGAGCUCGUCAGCCGUGGUAGGCAAUCUGCCUAGGAGAGCAAACUCCGAACAACAAACCCGGGCUUGUGGUGCCCGUUAGAUGUCGUAGACAAUCCACGUGAUGGGAACACCAAAGAAAAUGAAAAUGAAAAAGAAUACCAGAAAAAGGAAAAUAUAGAAACGAAACAUCGAGAAAAGAAAAAGCAAACACAGAUCAUCCACCUUUCGGCCCUAACUAACAUCACCAAAAUUAUGGGUGGGUCUCUUCUGGGGAGAAAGAGGCUCAUCCAGACCAAAGAACAUCAACAAGGGAUGAUAGAGAAAAGAACAUCAAGAAA